AAUAGAUACCCCGGUAGUCCACGCCGUAAACGAUGAGUGCUAAGUGUUAGGGGGUUUCCACCCCUUAGUGCUGCAGCUAACGCAUUAAGCACUCCGCCUGGGGAGUACGGUCGCAAGACUGAAACUCAAAGGAAUUGACGGGGGCCCGCACAAGCGGUGGAGCAUGUGGUUUAAUUCGAAGCAACGCGAAGAACCUUACCAGGUCUUGACAUCCCUCUGACCGCUAUGGAGACAUAGCCUUCCCUUCGGGGACAGUGGUGACAGGUGGUGCAUGGUUGUCGUCAGCUCGUGUCGUGAGAUGUUGGGUUAAGUCCCGCAACGAGCGCAACCCUUGUCCUUAGUUGCCAUCAUUCAGUUGGGCACUCUAAGGAGACUGCCGUACAAAUACGGAGGAAGGUGGGGAUGACGUCAAAUCAUCAUGCCCCUUAUGACCUGGGCUACACACGUGCUACAAUGGACGGUACAAACGGUCGCGAAGUCGCGAGACGGAGCCAAUCCGAAAAAACCGUUCUCAGUUCGGAUUGCAGG
rnacentral:rRNA from 1 species